UACGUAGGGUCCGAGCGUUGUCCGGAAUUACUGGGCGUAAAGAGCUCGUAGGUGGUUUGUCGCGUUGUUCGUGAAAACUCACAGCUCAACUGUGGGCUUGCAGUCGAUACGGGCAGACUUGAGUUCGGUAGGGGAGACUGGAAUUCCUGGUGUAGCGGUGAAAUGCGCAGAUAUCAGGAGGAACACCGGUGGCGAAGGCGGGUCUCUGGGCCGAUACUGACGCUGAGGAGCGAAAGUGUGGGGAGCGAACAGG
rnacentral:rRNA from 1 species